CAUAUAUUUAAUAUGUCUAUGCCCACUAGGACUUCACUCCAUGAAAUUCUGAUUCAGUUUGGCCUGUCUUGGGAUCUAUAAAUUCAAAAUGAUCCAAAGGUGAUUCUAAAGCAAGUACUUAAUUAAGCUACAAUGUGGCUUUCACAGACUUUUAAAAUAUAAAAAUAAGGUUAGCUUUUCCCUAGCAUUGGCAGACAUAUCCUUAGAGAGAACAUGCUACCAAUUUCCCAGAAAUGUUGUUAUCCGAUCUUAAGUGUGUUUGGAUACAGUGAAAAAUAAGAAUGUGUGAGAGAAAGGCUAGGCCAUCUUGCUUUACGUGGGCCCUAGCGCCAAGUUCACCUGUGUGGAACUAGAGCUUCUUUUGUGUUCUUUUGUCUUACCUUUAUUCCUCAUGAAAUUUGCUGAAAGGGGUGAAUCAGCGAUAUCCUUGAAUCACUAGCAUUUAGGAAUCCCUGUUAGAGUUUGACAGCAUUCAGUGGUAGCUCAGUGUGAAGUAGCAAGAGUAUUUUUAUUGUAUGUUGUGUUUUCUUGGACUUUGACAUUUUUCAAUUUUCUUGGUUUACACUACUCUUUAAAAUUAGUUUAACAUCCAAUUCAGACGGCUAUUGUUGCAGAAAAUGUGGUUAUGAAAGAGCAAAGCUUUUUGUAAUCUGGAAAGUGAUACACAAAAGUUGCAUCUAAUUAAAAAUCACCAUCAUGAAUUUAAUGAUCCAAAGGAUGCUGAUCUUUGAAGCACAUUUUACUACGUGUAGUUAACGUGUAGUUACUUAAACCCCACCUUUUGUAAAACGUUAAGACAGUUUUUUUUUUUUUUAAACUUACUAAUCUUUUUAUUCACAGAUACCACAUGAAACUUUGCUUUUGUUUCUGGCAACAAUGAACCGCAUUGAAGAAAAUUAAUUGAACCUUGAAAUUUUCAAAAUGCUUGUAGAGCAAAGAGACCAAGACCUGUAGCUGGCUAAGUAUCCCCUGGAGAGAAGACAGCAUGCUAUCCAGGAUGCUGGAGUUCACAAGAAAGGUUAAGCUUACAAUAUAACACAUGUUCAAGAGCCCCUUCUGAAAAAACUAAAGAGAUGAAAAUACUUCACACAUUGCUGAUAUCUUCUUGAGAAAGAGUAGUCCCGUUGAAGGUACAGUUGCUUUCUGGCUUCUCUUAGAAAAUCUAAAUUCCAACAUAGUUGUUAGAUGAAACUAUACAAUCCAAACCUCCUCUUAUUGACAAUGGAAUUUGGCUUUGGGUAAGUGACUUCAUUACUCAUCCAUUAGUUAUUCUUUGAACAAAAGCAGUUUUGUUGCUCAACUUAGGAUCUGAACAGAUAAACGUCCAACACCCUUUGCGCUGAGACUUGGAGUGGUGCCAAAGCCAUCUUGAGAGUUCAAGAGUAAAGGCUACAGUGUUACAGGAUCUGAAUAUCAGAUCCAUUCACAUUUAAUCAAUGUCCCUGAGCUGCAAAAUACACAAAUAAUUGCUUUUCCGGAGAUUACUCAAUUUUAAA